rnacentral:sRNA from 18 species
CGCAGUCCACCAAAUCCGCACAUACAUCGACACAUGUACCGGGGUGCUCAGCAGCAUUGCUGCGGGGUCGGGGCAUGGGGUGUAUGGAGGCCUAAC